AUUGAACGCUGGCGGCAUGCCUUACACAUGCAAGUCGAACGGUAACGGGCCUUCGGGUGCCGACGAGUGGCGAACGGGUGAGUAAUGCAUCGGAACGUACCUUUCAGUGGGGGAUAACGUAGCGAAAGUUACGCUAAUACCGCAUAUUCUGUGCGCAGGAAAGCAGGGGAUCGCAAGACCUUGCGCUGAUUGAGCGGCCGAUGUCAGAUUAGCUAGUUGGUGAGGUAAAGGCUCACCAAGGCGACGAUCUGUAGCGGGUCUGAGAGGAUGAUCCGCCACACUGGAACGGAGCCACGGUCCAGACUCCUACGGGAGGCAGCAGUGGGGAAUUUUGGACAAUGGGGGCAACCCUGAUCCAGCCAUGCCGCGUGAGUGAAGAAGGCCUUCGGGUUGUAAAGCUCUUUCGGCCGGGAAGAAAUCGUAUGGGCUAAUACCCUGUGCGGAUGACGGUACCGGCAUAAGAAGCACCGGCUAACUACGUGCCAGCAGCCGCCGUAAUAC
rnacentral:rRNA from 1 species